rnacentral:rRNA from 1 species
CCUACGGGUGGCAGCAGUGGGGAAUAUUGGACAAUGGGCGAAAGCCUGAUCCAGCCAUGCCGCGUGUGUGAAGAAGGCCUUCGGGUUGUAAAGCACUUUCAGUGGGGAAGAAAGCCUUGGGGCUAAUACCCUCGAGGAAGGACAUCGCCCACAGAAGAAGCACCGGCUAACUCCGUGCCAGCAGCCGCGGUAAUACGGAGGGUGCGAGCGUUAAUCGGAAUUACUGGGCGUAAAGCGCGCGUAGGCGGUCUGAUAAGCCGGUUGUGAAAGCCCCGGGCUCAACCUGGGAACGGCAUCCGGAACUGUCAGGCUAGAGUGCAGGAGAGGAAGGUAGAAUUCCCGGUGUAGCGGUGAAAUGCGUAGAGAUCGGGAGGAAUACCAGUGGCGAAGGCGGCCUUCUGGACUGACACUGACGCUGAGGUGCGAAAGCGUGGGUAGCAAACAGGAUUAGAUACCCCAGUAGUC